rnacentral:rRNA from 1 species
AUACGUAGGGUGCAAGCGUUAAUCGGAAUUACUGGGCGUAAAGCGUGCGCAGGCGGUUUUGUAAGACAGUGGUGAAAUCCCCGGGCUCAACCUGGGAACAGCCAUUGUGACUGCAAGGCUGGAGUGCGGCAGAGGGGGAUGGAAUUCCGCGUGUAGCAGUGAAAUGCGUAGACAUGCGGGGGAACACCGAUGGCGUAGGCAAUCCCCUGGGCCUGCACUGACUCUCAUGCACGAAAGCGUGGGGAGCAAACAGGAUUAGAUGCCCUGGUAGUCCACGCCCUAAACUGUGUCAACUGGUUGUUGGGGAUUUAUUUUCUCAGUAACGAAGCUAACGCGUGAAGUUGACCGCCUGGGGAGUACGGCCGCAAGGUUAAAACUCAAAGGAAUUGACGGGG